rnacentral:rRNA from 1 species
UUAAUUUGAGAGUUUGAUCCUGGCUCAGGACGAACGCUGGCGGCGUGCCUAAUACAUGCAAGUCGAACGAACUCUGGUAUUGAUUGGUGCUUGCAUCAUGAUUUACAUUUGAGUGAGUGGCGAACUGGUGAGUAACACGUGGGAAACCUGCCCAGAAGCGGGGGAUAACACCUGGAAACAGAUGCUAAUACCGCAUAACAACUUAGACCGCAUGGUUCUUGG